rnacentral:lncRNA from 1 species
AGAGGAAGCCGGGUGCUGUGGAGAUUCACAGAUGACUUCAGAGCCGUUUUGAGGGGAACUGAUCAUGUGACUUCUAACAACAUUUGGUGAUGCUGAGACUGUGUGACUCCAAAGCCUAGGUCCUAGGAAGCACUGUGAGCCUCUUCUUGAACCCUCUUCUUGGAUCACGUACUGGGGAGAAGUCCGCUGCCGUGUCACAAGAAGGGUAUGUGGCAACAACUUAGGGUCACCAACAUUUCGUCCAAGUGAAUAGACAGUCACGUGA